rnacentral:lncRNA from 1 species
AAGAAGAAGGGGCCACCGAGACCCCAAAAGAGUCACGGAGACAGACGGACAAAACGACCGACACAACCAGGGACAGACAUCCUUCCAGUUGGAUUUCAACUGGGUUCUGCCGAUGGGAUGUAUCCAUGUGAGAUUCUGGAACUAACAUCAGAGAGAGUCCAAGCUUCUAACUUUUAUCAGUGGCAGUGACAACAGUCAAGCAGCAUUGAUGACAAAUGGCAAGAGUUUACAAAGUACCAGUGACGUGCCUGAUAGAAUCUCCCCACAAGAUGGAAGCCAACUCAUCAGAAGCCUGGAAAGCCCGCCCAGCGUGGGACCUCUGUGGGUCCAGGAUCUUGGAAUGGCAUCCCAUGGUUUAAUCUUCCAGAUUCAACCAAAUAAAUUUACCCCACCAUGUCAUGGACCCAAGCUUCCUACCAUGUAUCCUUAGCUUAAAUGCAAGAUAGUGCUAUCUUGUUCAUCUUGAUUGGAGUGAGAAAUGAAUAGGUCCAUGCACAUAUAUUUCUUUUACCACAACAAGAUGAAGAAGAAAUAAAUCCAUAAUAUUGAUACUUUUGUAUAAGUUGUGUUUACAGUUGCAGUAAGAAAUUUUAUAAUCGUUGAUUUGCUUUAUAUAAUUUCUGCUUGCUUUUUAUGAUAUUUAAAACAAAAUCUAAGCAACAAAUUUUAUGUCUGAUUAGAUUUACAGAAGCUGCUUAAGUGCUUAGGGAUAAUUUGUUCAUCAUACUUGUAAGUCUCCCUUGUUAGGUGUUUGAAGUGUUUGAAUUGGCUAAAUUAAAUUUGUAAUUGUAGUUUCAAAUAUCUAAA